UGCAAGUCGAGCGAACAGACGAGGAGCUUGCUCCUCUGACGUUAGCGGCGGACGGGUGAGUAACACGUGGGUAACCUACCUAUAAGACUGGAAUAACUCCGGGAAACCGGGGCUAAUGCCGGAUAAUAUGCAGAACCGCAUGGUUCUGCAAUGAAAGACGGUUUUGCUGUCACUUAUAGAUGGACCCGCGCCGUAUUAGCUAGUUGGUAAGGUAACGGCUUACCAAGGCAACGAUACGUAGCCGACCUGAGAGGGUGAUCGGCCACACUGGAACUGAGACACGGUCCAGACUCCUACGGGAGGCAGCAGUAGGGAAUCUUCCGCAAUGGGCGAAAGCCUGACGGAGCAACGCCGCGUGAGUGAUGAAGGUCUUCGGAUCGUAAAACUCUGUUAUUAGGGAAGAACAAGUGCGUAGGUAACUAUGCGCACCUUGACGGUACCUAAUCAGAAAGCCACGGCUAACUACGUGCCAGCAGCCGCGGUAAUACGUAGGUGGCAAGCGUUAUCCGGAAUUAUUGGGCGUAAAGCGCGCGUAGGCGGUUUUUUAAGUCUGAUGUGAAAGCCCACGGCUCAACCGUGGAGGGUCAUUGGAAACUGGAAAACUUGAGUGCAGAAGAGGAAAGUGGAAUUCCAUGUGUAGCGGUGAAAUGCGCAGAGAUAUGGAGGAACACCAGUGGCGAAGGCGACUUUCUGGUCUGCAACUGACGCUGAUGUGCGAAAGCGUGGGGAUCAAACAGGAUUAGAUACCCUGGUAGUCCACGCCGUAAACGAUGAGUGCUAAGUGUUAGGGGGUUUCCGCCCCUUAGUGCUGCAGCUAACGCAUUAAGCACUCCGCCUGGGGAGUACGGCCGCAAGGCUGAAACUCAAAGGAAUUGACGGGGACCCGCACAAGCGGUGGAGCAUGUGGUUUAAUUCGAAGCAACGCGAAGAACCUUACCAAAUCUUGACAUCCUUUGACCGCUCUAGAGAUAGAGUCUUCCCCUUCGGGGGACAAAGUGACAGGUGGUGCAUGGUUGUCGUCAGCUCGUGUCGUGAGAUGUUGGGUUAAGUCCCGCAACGAGCGCAACCCUUAAGCUUAGUUGCCAGCAUUAAGUUGGGCACUCUAAGUUGACUGCCGGUGACAAACCGGAGGAAGGUGGGGAUGACGUCAAAUCAUCAUGCCCCUUAUGAUUUGGGCUACACACGUGCUACAAUGGACAGUACAAAGGGCAGCGAAACCGCGAGGUCAAGCAAAUCCCAUAAAGCUGUUCUCAGUUCGGAUUGUAGUCUGCAACUCGACUACA
rnacentral:rRNA from 1 species